UAGGGAAUAUUAGUAAUGGGCGAAAGCCUGAACUAGCAACGCCGCGUGUGCGAAGAAGGCCUUCGGGUUGUAAAGCACUUUUUGAGAGGAUGAGGAAGGACGGUACUCUCAGAAUAAGUCCCGGCUAACUACGUGCCAGCAGCCGCGGUAACACGUAGGAGGCGAACGUUAUCCGGAUUUACUGGGCGUAAAGCGCGUGUAGGUGGUUUGGUAAGUAGGGCGUGAAAGCUCCUGGCUCAACUGGGAGAGGCCGUUCUAAACUGCCGAACUAGAGGAUGGUAGAGGGAGGUUGAAUUCCGUGUGGAGCGGUGGAAUGCGCAGAUAUCCGGAGGAACACCAGUGGCGAAAGCGGCCGCCUGGGCCAUUCCUGACACUCAGACGCGAAAGC
rnacentral:rRNA from 1 species